CAAGCCAGCAGGGUGAUCGCGUGCGGCUCGACCGUACGAGGAAAGUCCGAGCUCCAUAGAGCAGGGUGCUGGGUAACACCCAGUGGGGGCGACCCCAAGGAAAGUGCCACAGAAACACACCGCCGGCUCCGCCGGUAAGGGUGAAAUGGUGAGGUAAGAGCUCACCGGCAGCCGGGUGAUCGGCUGGACGGGUAAACCCCACCUGGUGCAAGACCGAAUAGGAAGGCAAGUUGUCCUCGUGACAUCCGACGGUUGCUCGCCUGGGCCUUCGGGUAAGGUCGCUUGAGGCGCCGGGUAACCGGCGCGCUAGAUAGAUGAUCAUCACCGCGUGGAUCGCGAGGCCCGCGCGAAACAGAACUCGGCUUACGGCUGGCUUGGACC
rnacentral:RNase_P_RNA from 1 species